UACGUAGGGUGCGAGCGUUGUCCGGAAUUAUUGGGCGUAAAGGGCUCGUAGGCGGUUUGUCGCGUCGGGAGUGAAAACACCGGGCUUAACUCGGUGCUUGCUUCCGAUACGGGCAGACUAGAGGCAUGCAGGGGAGAACGGAUUCCUGGUGUAGCGGUGAAAUGCGCAGAUAUCAGGAGGAACACCGGUGGCGAAGGCGGUUCUCUGGGCAUUACCUGACGCUGAGGAGCGAAAGCGUGGGGGAGCAAACAGG
rnacentral:rRNA from 1 species